CCGUGAGAUUUUGUUUGUGCCGUGACACCUGUGGACCACCGUAGAGAAUAUAUAGAAGGGCAACUCGCAGGUGAAACGCGUGGCAUAUUUUCUGUGCGCAUGCGUUAGGUCCGCCAUUACUCGGCCAGUAACUUGACGCUGGCGUAAUAUAAAAUAAUAUUGGAAAAGUGCGAUUUUGGGAUAAUAAUCGCCUAAAACACAAACUGUUUUGGAAGAUCAUGGAAUUUUGUGACAAAACGUGAAAGGAAUAAGUUGUUAUUUUGGCAUUCAGUUCUCAAGUGAGGAUUAUGUUGCAAGUGUCUUGUGUUAUGUAGUUUAGUAUGUUGGAUUAGAUUUUAGUGGCUACUUGUAUCUGUAGCAUGUUAAACUUUGUUUGUUAAAUUCUAUUAUGUUUUUAUUAUGAUUGGGUGGUUUUUGUAAGGGUGCUUUAUUAAACAUUGAUCACAAUUUCUUCAGCUUAAUUGUUUAGUAUACCAAUAUUUAUAGAGAAAUUAGCAUUUCUUCUGCACCCCCAUCUAGCUUAAGCUAGGAGGGCUGCACACCCCUCUCUUAUAUCCAUCUCUGAAUAAAGUUGUCAUUAAAUUUUAUAAAUGUAAAUAUGUGUACUGAAUUGCUGUAUUUUAUUCUGUAUAUUCUAUUGCAUGAAAUGCACACAUUCUAAAUUUAAAUUGUUUUGUGUUAAAGAUUUUUGUGCACCAUGUAAAUCUUUAACGACAAAGACAUGUUUUUAGCCUUGUAACCAUUAAGAAAAUAUAAUAUUUAUUAUAUUGCUGUUA